rnacentral:rRNA from 1 species
UACGUAGGGCGCAAGCGUUAUCCGGAAUUAUUGGGCGUAAAGAGCGUGUAGGCGGCCUGAAAGGUCAGCUGUGAAAACUCGAGGCUCAACCUCGAGACGUCGGUUGAAACCAUCUGGCUAGAGUCCGGAAGAGGAGUGUGGAAUUCCCGGUGUAGCGGUGAAAUGCGCAGAUAUCGGGAGGAACACCAGUGGCGAAGGCGGCCUUCUGGCUCAUAACUGACGCUGUAGCGCGAAAGCGUGGGGAGCGAACCGG